rnacentral:rRNA from 1 species
UACGAAGGGGGCUAGCGUUAUUCGGAAUUACUGGGCGUAAAGGGCGUGUAGGUGGUUUAGAAAGUUAAAAGUGAAAGCUCAGGGCUUAACCUUGGAACUGCUUUUAAAACUUCUAGACUAGAGGGCGAUAGGGGGCAAUGGAAUUCCUAGUGUAGAGGUGAAAUUCUUAGAUAUUAGGAGGAACACCAGAGGCGAAGGCGAUUGCCUGGGUCGCACCUGACACUGAGACGCGAAAGCGUGGGGAGCAAACAGG